rnacentral:rRNA from 1 species
GACAGAGGAUGCAAGCGUUAUCCGGAAUGAUUGGGCGUAAAGCGUCUGUAGGUGGCUUUUUAAGUCUGCCGUCAAAUCCCAGGGCUUAACCCUGGACAGGCGGUGGAAACUACCAAGCUGGAGUACGGUAGGGGCAGAGGGAAUUUCCGGUGGAGCGGUGAAAUGCGUAGAGAUCGGGAAGAACAUCGGUGGCGAAAGCGCUCUACUGGACGGUGACUGACACUCAGGGACGAAAGCUAGGGGAGCGAAUGGG